CCUACGGGACGCAGCAGUGGGGAAUAUUGCACAAUGGGGGAAACCCUGAUGCAGCAACGCCGCGUGAGUGAAGAAGUCAUUCGUGAUGUAAAGCUCUAUCAGCAGGGAAGAAAAUGACGGUACCUGAGUAAGAAGCCCCGGCUAACUACGUGCCAGCAGCCGCGGUAAUACGUAGGGGGCAAGCGUUAUCCGGAUUUACUGGGUGUAAAGGGAGCGCAGGCGGCAUGGCAAGUCAGAUGUGAAAGCCCGGGGCUCAACCCCGGGACUGCAUUUGAAACUGUCAGGCUGGAGUGCAGGAGAGGCAG
rnacentral:rRNA from 1 species